UGGCUUAUUUCAAAGCAGAUGAUUAAUCAA
rnacentral:piRNA from 1 species